CUCACAGGAAAAAAAAAAAAAAACAAAAACAAAAAACCCUUCUGUAUAUUUUUCCCGCUGGGUGGUCAGAAGGAAAGGCCACGAAGCCAAAGGCCUCCCAUUGAGACAGUGCUAUACGGAGAGCCGACCUCACGUGCCGCCGCUGCAGGAGAUGAGAGCACCUGUCGGGUCUCCGCCACUCCUUGGACCUGAAAACUCUCCUUUCCAAGUGCACCCUUUGAGAUCUGCCCAUCGCCGAAGGUCAAACUUGAGUACCACCACAUCUCUAUGCAGGAUACAUCUUGAAGAUGACACAAAUGUCAAGGACAACCUAACCCAUAUCAACCUUUGUAAGUGUGAUAACUAAACAUUCAGUGUGUUAACUCUCUGAGGUUUGGUGAUUGCUCCAACAAUUUUAUCCAUAUCCUCAAACUUCAUCUGAGCCAGUAGUUUCUUCUUCCUGUCUCAUCAGCAUCUAUCAGGACUACACAUCUAUGAUGAAAGCAAGGAACUGGGUUAGUUUCUUCUUCUUCCUUGUUAAGUGUGUACCUCUCCCCACUCCAAGUUGUAUUGUGCAGUAAAAUGACUGGGAAGAAGAAGAAGGUCAUGGACUGCCUAAAUCACUGAACAACAGGAUCACUGACUAUGUCCAAAAAGGUCUUAGACAAGCCAAACAGUGGAAAAGGUAAAAUGUUAACAUGAGUGCAGUAAAUAUUUAGUCCUUCUUUGGGGAAUCUUGAGGAAAAAGGAGAGUGUUGUGUUGGAAAUGACUGACAGGUGGAUGUCUUCAGGGGCCUACCACACCAUGGAAGGCUGUCUGGAGGAGAAAGUGUGCCUUAUGUCCUUCCCAAUAAAAAGCCUGGGAAAAAACAUCUGUCAAGUGAUAUUUGGAACUGACAUUUUCAUAAGGAUCCAGUCUAUGGAGGGCUUUUGCAGGGCUUGGAAAAACACAUUUUUCAUUCUUCCUCCUCUCCAUCUCCUGUAAUUAAAUGAUGUUCACAGUGUUAAAUGUAUAUUUAAAAUGACAUGCUUCAAGGAUUACAUUUUAGGAAGCUUUCUAUUUGGAAACAAUUUUGAUAAUAAUAAUGAUCAUUUCAAAAAGUAAUAUUUAUUUCCUGAGCCCUUUGAGAGUAAGGUAGGUGCACACAUCAUGGCUCUUUACUCAUAAAUAUUUCCCAUUUCCUUCUAAAUGUACUCCAAGCUGGGGUCUGAGACACAGAGUGAUGCCCAAUUUAUGGCACUAAGCUUUGGGAAAUGGAAGUCCAGGUUAUGCCUUUAUUUUCCAGCAAUUAGGAUAUUUCUGGAGAGGAAUGUUGGCUGAAAGAUGCCCACAUGGAGAGAUAUCUGCUCUCUUGCCACAGGUGCUACCUUGUCUAAUAUUUUCAUGUUCUGCUUGGGUGAUGAAAUAGAAGGGAUGUUUGCCGCCCCACCCCCACCCCAUUCAGGGAUUCUGAUUGGGAAUGGGUGGCUAACAUAGUUUCUGGGUCAGAAAAGAUCUUGAUAAACUGGAUCUUUAUCAAAUUAAAUAUAAAAUAUAUGGUAUAGGGGCG